CCUUCUCUCCCGCACCCUUAGCCGCUGCCGCCCCCUUUGGCCAAAAGCCUAGCCGCCGCCCCCGGCCCCGCCGCCGCCCCUCGUGCCGCCACCCCUCCUUCCGAGCAUGUGCCGCCCAUCAUCCCUCCCUCCUCUCCUCUUCUCCUAUCGCGCCGCCCAUUCAUCCGAGCCCAACGACGCCAGAUCCGUGCGCCACCCAUCUUUCCCCAUGUUCCGCUCCCUCCCUGAUAAAGCCCAAAAAUCGUUCCCCUCCUCCUCCUGUGGAUCCAGUCGAACCUGAAUCCCUCCCUCAUCCCCCCCGUUCACUGAAGCCAAUGGCGACUCCACUGGCGAUGGGUGUUGGCGACCAACUGCAGACGCAGACGACGGACUGUCCAAGAGAUCGAUAGAUGGGUGGGUGGGUGGCUGCGGGCGCGUGCUCACGUCGAGUUUCCCUGCAGGUCGGCGGCGGCGGGUCUGUAGACGCGGAUGCCCCUCUGCAGCGCGGCGUUGGCGGCGUGCCUGGGAUCCUGCAUCACCCGAGUGAUGCGGCGCGCCAAGCAACAGUAGGGGAAGGGGGUCUCCUGCUCGAGGAGUCGAAGGAGUAGGGGCGUGCCCAGAAGGCAGACCUGUCCUGCUCGUUGGGGAGGGCCAAGAGGGGUCUGCUCCUCUGCUUCCAUUGCGACCGCGGCAGGUAGCUCCUCCAUCUCCUUCCCCCACUUCUUGUGCUCACUACUUCUGCUGCUAAGUUGACGAAUAUGUGAUGCACUUGUCCCAAGGAAUUUUAGAGGGAUCUGUAUGAACAAGUCAUGUUUUUAUUUUAUUUUAUUUAGGUUGUUAGUUACCAAACAGAGAGAGAGAAGAUGAGCUCCUGCUUGGAUUUUUUUUCUGCCAACACAUGAUUUGUAUGUAUGCAAUCAUCAUCUUGCGUGUGCGAGCUGGUUCCUUGCUUGGCAAUCGCGUCGAUGACCAAGUGUUAGUGCCGAUUUGUUGUGGUGGUGCUCAUCUGGCCAUUUUUUUUUGCUGAUAAUUAGGUGCUAAAUAAUGCUGCAGGUUUAUUAGGAUGUGGCUGAAACCAUUGGAUGGCCUUCGUGGACUUGCUAUCAAUACUGGUCUCAUGUUUUGUUUCCUUUCUGGACAUGUUAUGGUUCAAGUGUUGCUGUUGUUUAGUACUAAGUGCUUAACUUAACUUAGUUUGAGCUACUAAAACCCACUCUCAAAUUAAUGAAUUCCUGUUUUCCGAAACUUCAAUGUUGAGCUCCUCUCCUCGCCGAGCCGUGGCCGUCGAUUUUCAUUUCGUCAACCACCACUCCAGCUACCUUCCAGUGUAAUCAAAUUUGCUCCUGUAUGUAUGUAUGUAUAUAUAUGUAUGAGGCUGGGUAGUUCAACUCUAGUUUUCUUUCUAACUAUAUAUGGUGGAAAUUGUGCAGGUUCGAUGGUGCCAAGUGGCCUCUGGCCAUCUUGAACUGGAACUCCAGUAACAAGUAGAUGUUGCUGCCGUACUCAAUAUUUUAAGUUAUUUUUUUCAUUUUUCAGAGAAGUGUAUUAGGUUGAUGAGAUUAAUUAGCUCAGUUGGCUAAAGUAGCAACAAUAACAGCCACGCUUUGCCAUCCACUUUAUAGCUGGAUUGUACUUACAUGCUUAGGUAACCUUGUACGCAUAGCUGGUCUGUUUAAUUUAUAAAUGGUUAUCUGUUGCUGCUGCGGGAGCAACGUUGCUGAUGGCGAUGGGUACGUGAUGGUGGCUAGUGUGGUGGACGACCCAGAAUAUAGUUGGAUGGAGCUGCUGGAGGUGAAUGGAGCUGCUACUUGGGACAUUGCGUCUCAGCAUUUGUUCAGUGGGUUUGACGCACAGUUUCAGUCAGUCCAAAGUUCGUGAAGAGGUCUGAUGUGGUUUUGUGAAGGAAGGGGAUGUACGGCUCCUCGGGCAGCUCCUUGUCAUGGGCGGCGCCGUCGUCUGCAGGGCCGUUUCUUCUUUGAAUUACCACACACGCGCGUCUUGUUUGUUGCUAAUCAACCAGUGAUUUGGGUGAUUUUGGGUUGCUGUUAGUUUUGCUUCUGCAAUUUAAUGCUGUCAAUGCUCUUUCUCGUUUGGUGGAUCAACUAAUUGCUUACAAAUCCAGCAAGCAUGAAUGCUUAAUUUUACAGAUUUGUUUGACUGACUUUCUCAAAUCUAGCUCGUGUCUAUUUGUUGGAUGUGGAUCAAGUCUCCCUAUGUAGAUGAGUUCUAGAUUCCAGUUCACCAUGUUUUGCUUAUGAAUGAAUGCGCUAGAAGUAGAACAUAAUUUGUUGCAUUGGUGGUUACUUUAUACAUUUUCUGAUUGGUCAAUCAACUAGUUAGCUACAGUUUACAUUGGUCAGGGAAUGUCGAUGGUCAAAGAAUUAACGUCCAUUCUCCAGAUCUUAACAUGUGGUUCUUGGAUAGGUCCCUUUUUGAAGCCUUUUUUAUCUGAAUCCCAUGAAGUAAAUGAGUCUAGUUUUAUAACAGGCAUGCUGUCUUAUUAAAUCAGGGGGAAAUUAUUGCCUGGAUAGGUGUUUUCUUUUGAGAAGUUUGUGGAUGUUGAUCAAGUCCCCCUUUCCGCUCUAUGAAACGUUUCUCCUGUUGUACUUCUUAAAAAGCUUUCCGCCGAUGGCAGGAAGAAGAAGGUUGUUCACAAGAAGAUGGCAGGAAGAAGCAGGCUAAUUUGAUUCGAUCCUCAAGAUGCUGGCCUAUCAUGUUUCUUCGCGAGCAUCAGGACAAAGAAGUUGGAAGAAGCAUAGUUCUAGCUCAUUGGAGCUAGUUCUGGGAGUAAUGAAGCCCUUUAGGCUGAUCCUAUUUGUAUGUGUGUUAUAUGAUGUAGACUGUACACUUGUAGACUCAUGUGGUAGACUGUACACUUGUAGACUCAUGUGGUAGACUGUACACUUGUAGGGCUCAUGUGAUACUCAUGUGGUAGACUGUACACUUGUAGAGCUGUUAUCUAAUUGUAAACUUGAUGCUGAUCACAUUAUGUAUGUAUGUUAUAUGAUGUAGCAUAUUGCUUCUUGCUAUUA